rnacentral:rRNA from 1 species
CCUACGGGAGGCAGUAGUGAGGAAUAUUGGUCAAUGGGCGAGAGCCUGAACCAGCCAAGUCGCGUGGGUGAAGAAGCGCCUCGGCGCGUAAAGCCCUGUCAGCAGGGAAGAAAAUGACGGUACCUGAAGAAGAAGCCCCGGCUAACUACGUGCCAGCAGCCGCGGUAAUACGUAGGGGGCAAGCGUUAUCCGGAUUUACUGGGUGUAAAGGGGGCGCAGACGGCGGUGCAAGCCAGGAGUGAAAGCCCGGGGCCCAACCCCGGGACUGCUCUUGGAACUGCGUGGCUAGAGUGCAGGAGGGGCAGGCGGAAUUCCUGGUGUAGCGGUGAAAUGCGUAGAUAUCAGGAGGAACACCGGUGGCGAAGGCGGCCUGCUGGACUGCAACUGACGUUGAGGCCCGAAAGCGUGGGGAGCAAACAGGAUUAGAUACCCUAGUAGUC